ensembl:lncRNA
CCUUCACCAGCUCCCCUUGUUCUUUGGUGAGGGGCUUGACCACUCCACACUGGUCCAUGCCCCACAGCGGCACCCCGAACCCGUCUUGGGGCAACCCCCAGCACUGCUCCCCAAGGGGAUCCUCCUCCACUCUCUCAUAGACCGCUUCAUCGUCAUCCGAGGAGAGGGAGUCAGACCCCCAAUCGCCCCUCCAGGAAGAACACCGGUCUGUUCUUAUGUUGGCGCCCAACCUGCCUGAAGGUGCCGCUGAAGUGCGAUGAGACAAGGAAAGACCUGCUGACAAUGGCACCCCCGCUCAUGAUAAUGAUUGGAUAAUAUGCACCAUCUAAACACACAUCAGCCAGCAGCACUUUCAAAACCUGAACCUUGCCUACUGAAGAGAACUUAGACCGCUGCACUGUCUGGGAGACCCUUGAUUCAGACAGUUUAUGAGAGCAGAACUUCAUAUCAGUGUGUUUCUACGGGUGUCUAUCUUUGUAUGGACUGAAUGUGUGUGUCACCCUGGGAUUAGCCAGAAUCUUGUUCUGGCUAACAGUGAUGAUGGAUGCCAUACCAUAAUUAGGGUUUAAUUCCCAUGGAGACUCUUCACUCCCCGAGCUGUGUCACCAUGGUGACUAAACGCAGAAAUGAAAGAUAGAACGAUUUAAAAUCUGACUAGCAGGUCUCAGCAGGAGUCCGAGUAAACUGACGUUGUGACUGCCAGAUAUAGGCCUGGAUGAAUGUGAUGCUGUCUUUGCAACCAUUUGGUUUCUGAUGGGUUCUUCCAGCUUUGUAUUAGGCUCUGUAUUUCAACAUCUGAUUGACUGUUCCAGCAUCUUCUACUUUUCUAUUGUUCCAGCUCAUCAACAAUGUCACCUCUGUAGUGAUACAUGAUGGCUGGGUGAUAGAGGAGGAGUCUGGAGGAGAGGGAAAGAGUCCAGCUGGGUGAGGGAGGUGUCUGGAGGAGAGGGAAAGAGUCCAGCUGGGUGAGGGAGGAGUCUGGAAGAGACAGAAGGAGAAGAUAAUACUGAAGAUACAUUAGGAGACACUAUAAGCCUGGCACUGAAUUCAGAAGACAUACAAGACACUUGCUGCAACACUUAACAGAUGAGCUG